rnacentral:lncRNA from 1 species
CUCUGCUUAACCCUCCUGUGCCGGGCUCACGAACAGGAUGCAGCCAGCUUCUUGGAACCUUGGGGAUGGUGGAACCUUGGGCACGGACUGCUAGAAAACGGAACUGACCAGGAGACGCCUGCCACACACGGCCUUUGUCUUUCUGAGAGAACUGAUGGGAGGCCGCACAAGCUACUCAGGAAGCUGAGGAUGGAACCCGGGACCUUUCCCUCCGUGGGCUGGGCAAGUUCCUUCCUCAGCUUCUGGGAUUUUCUCCAGACAGUGAAGCCCCAAGUGAAGAGAGAACUCGCUGGGGCUCCCUGCACCUCCCUGAGAUUUAUGGUGCGUCUGUGAUGAAAGGCUACCCCGGCCGGGCAUCUCACCUGUGUGGGUGUUCACAUGGUUCCUAAGAAGAGUGACAGUCCGGAAGGCCUUCAGGCACAGGUGACACAGGUGUGGCCUCUCAUUGCUGUGAAUUUUGAUGUGACGAUUGAAAGUUGAGAGCUUGGAGGAAGUGAACGGGCAGGCGUCGCACUGAAAGCUCUGAGGCUUUCCUGUAGAGAGAAGACACACACCAGUGUAGCUGGAAAGAUCGUCCCUUGAGCAGCCCCUCAGAGGCCGACGUGACUUCCUUGGCCUAGUGCUGUUGAGGAUUAUGAGAUGUCUCAAAACCUCGGGACACUCUGUUUUUGAUGAAGAACAUCUUGUUAAGAAGUACCCAGCUUCUGUUUCCUGCCACAGGGCUGUCCAGGUCCCUAACCCACCCUCUCUGUUCUUAACAAUAGAGAACAGUGUGGCCAAUGAACACCGGUAACUGCAGUUCCAGGGGGUCUGAUGCCCUCUUCUGGCCACUAUGGGAACUGCACACAAGUGGUGCACAGAAAUACAUACAUUCUUUUUUGUUUGUUUGUUUGUUUUUUUUUUUUUUUUUGAGACAGCCAAAGCUACAGAGAGAAACCCUGUCUUGAAAAUCAAGAAACAAACAAACAAACCAAUCAGUCUUAAUAAACUGUCAUUUACAGUGUGGUAUAGAUCAAGGAAGUCAGAAGACAAAGUCUUCUCCAAGCAGAGAGUCCCAGAAGCAAGUCUCCCAUAAACAUGGACCCAAGUGGGUACCCAAGUUCUCUGUUGGGUAAAUGAAGACCCCCCAGCCCCCAAUGCCUUCCCAGAAUCCUCCACCCAAGCCAGGAGAGCUCUGGGAAACUGGCAUGAAGCUGAACAAAGCCACAGCCCACAGCCACAAGCGACUAUUUAAAUCUGUAUC